rnacentral:rRNA from 1 species
AACGAACGCUGGCGGCGUGCCUAACACAUGCAAGUCGUGCGAGAAAGUUCCUUCGGGAGCGAGUAAAGCGGCGCACGGGUGAGUAACACGUAGGUAACCUGCCCCCCAGUCUGGAACAACUAGAGGAAACUCUAGCUAAUGCCGGAUGAGACCACGAUCCCUUCGGGGGUUGCGGCCAAAGAUGGCCUCUACUUGUAAGCUAUCGCUGAGGGAUGGGCCUGCGGGCCAUUAGCUUGUUGGUGAGGUAACGGCUCACCAAGGCUGUGAUGGCUAGCUGGUCUGAGAGGAUGACCAGCCACACUGGGACUGAGACACGGCCCAGACUCCUACGGGAGGCAGCAGUGGGGAAUUUUGGACAAUGGGGGCAACCCUGAUCCAGCAAUGCCGCGUGAGUGAAGAAGGCCUUCGGGUUGUAAAGGACUCUUUUGUCUAGGGAAGGAAAAGGUACGUGGCUAAUAUCCACGACUGCUGACGGUACCUGAAGAAUAAGCACCGGCUAACUACGUGCCAG